GGGGGGAUUUGGGAACCCCCAGCCCCAAAUUCUGCGGCAGCGGGGGCUGGGCUGGAUCAGGCACUUCUGGGCACUGCGGGGAGGGGACAGGGACGGACAGAGGGACGGACAGGAUGGACAGAGGGAUGGACAGGGAGGGACAGAGGGAUGGACACAGGGAUGGAUUGGGAUGGACACAGGGAUGGACAGGGAUGGACAUGGGGGGGGGGACAGGGAUGGACAGAGGGAGGGACAGAGGGAUGGACAGAGGGAUGGACAGGGAUGGAUGGGAUGGACAGAGGGAUGGACACAGGAUGGACACAGGGAUGGA
rnacentral:lncRNA from 1 species